UAAUUAUGUUUGACCCUUUAAAUUGGUCAAUGUCACCAAUCCUUUAUUUAAGUCUUAAAAGACACCUUUCCUUCAAUUUUCUUAACCCACCAGCCCAAAAUUUCUCCCAAAUUAAUCGACCUAAUUAGACCACCCUAACGACUCACAACCUUCACCCCUUAUAUCCUCUUCUAACAACCUACCACCACUAACAACGCAAUUUCCUUACCCCUCAACAAAAACAGACCAGCGGCCCAAUUCACUCACCAACCCGACCCAGCUCCAAUUCCCUUUCCCCUUUACCUAUCAGCAACACUCUAACAAUAUACCAAAAAACAAACAGACAACAUUAUCAACAACAACAAUGAGAACCGCUCCAACAUUAAUGUUGUAAUAUCAACAAAGAACAACGGCUUCAACUCGUCACCAACCGUAGUCAACCUAGCCAUUUCUAAUUUCUUACCCUUUUACCUCUCCGUAUAGCCAAGAAUGGCUAAGAAUUUCAUUAACUUUUUCCUUUCUCAGAUUAUGUUCAUCUAUUUUUGAUAAGAAACCAAUGGAUACAAGAAAUUCGGAUUUGAAAUCCAACUUUUCAAAUCCGAAACCCUAAAUUUUUUCAUCCAAAAUUCCCCUAUAAAUAGAGGUUGAAAGAUAGUGGAAAGGGGGAGGAUUUUUGUGGAAAAAUUUUGAGGUUUGGGAGGCGCGUGCUAUUAACUUCACACAACCAGAAAUUCUCUACGAACUCACUCCAAAAACCAGAUUCUAGCAAAAUUGUUGAACUCUGGCAAGGCUAAUCGGAACUUCGAUGGUGAAAGUCCAUUUGAUUAAGGCUUGUCAUCCCAUUCGUUGUUCGGAAAAAGUUGAAGAAGAAGUUAGGUUCCAACAUUGCGUCUGUUACAUUGCUUGUGGUGCAAACUAACUCGGGUCCUAUUUUGCGAGUUCCUGAGGCUAUUAUUAAUAGACGUUUAUCUCCCACAAAUGGUCAAGCCAUUGAACAGAUUCUCAUCAAAUGGAUGAAUGUAGCUGAUGAGGAUAGCACCUGAGAGGAUUUGGACUUUAUCGGAGCCGAGUAUCCCCACCUGGAUCCUUGAGGACAAGGAUGAUUUGAAGAGGGAGUAUUUGAUAUGAUCCAUUUGUAAUGAUUUUUCAUAAUUGAGUAUUAUUUCCAUUUUUAGAUUUAUGUUUGUAGUUACUUGUUAAAAUCAGUCAGUCACGUGAGCUGCACGUGGUCCCACUAGCUGUUAAGACUGUUAGGGUCUGUUAUGGUCGUUUACUACUAGAGUUAGUUAUAACUAACUUUUGGAACCCCUGUUUCACUCUUUUCAUCUUUUUUCCUCAUUAAAUAGUCACAGUAUUGAAGGGUUGUAAUCAUCAGAACAUUGACUCAAGAGCAAUAAACAAGUUUCUCUCUUUUCUCUUUCGAUAACAA